rnacentral:rRNA from 1 species
CCUACGGGAGGCAGCAGUGGGGAAUAUUGCACAAUGGGGGAAACCCUGAUGCAGCGACGCCGCGUGAGUGAAGAAGUAAUUCGUUAUGUAAAGCUCUAUCAGCAGGGAAGAAAAUGACGGUACCUGCGGAAGAAGCCCCGGCCAACUCCGUGCCAGCCGCCGCGGUAAUACGGAGGGGGCAAGCGUUAUCCGGAUUUACUGGGUGUAACGGGAGCGUAGACGGCAGUGCAAGUCUGGCGUGAAAGGCGGGGGCUCAACCCCCGGACUGCUCUGGAAACUGGCCGGCUGGAGUGCAGGAGAGGUAAGUGGAAUUCCUAGUGUAGCGGUGAAAUGCGUAGAUAUUAGGAGGAACACCAGUGGCGCCGGCGGCUUACUGGACUGUAACUGACGUUGAGGCUCGAAAGCGUGGGGAGCAAACAGGAUUAGAUACCCUAGUAGUC